GGAUGGGUUCCAUUUAUAACCACGGGUAAAGGUUGUCAGGUAUUUAUCCAAAUUGCACAAAACAAAAUCUGAACAAUCAGAAUAAUCUUGAAAAUUCACAAGUUUGAGUUGGAUGGGCUCCAUUCAGGGAAUUAUGUUUCAGAAAAAUCUCAAAAAAUGUAUGCUGAUUAAAAAUUUUAAGACUAUAUUGGGGAGCUGAAGGUAGUUCAAUGAAGAGUGCUUGCCUAGUACAUGUGAAGUCCUGGGUUCAAUCUCCAGCACUGAAAAGGAAAAAAAGACUAUACUGGAAGUUUUAGACAUAAUAAGGCAAGGAAAAUAAAAUAAAAUGAAUAUGGAUUGGUUAAAAAAAUUAAAAGUAUUCCUAUUUACAGAUGACAUGAUUGUUUACAUAGAAAAUUCCAAAUGAUCUACUUCUUAAAUAAUAAUAAUUUAAAAACCCCACCUGGGACUAGUGAGAGAAGUAAGGUCACAGGAUACAAGAUCAGCACAUGAACAUGUGGAAAUCAAAACUAUAAUCACAAUACCACUUACUGCCACUUCAAAGAAAAUUAAAUUAUGUUUGGUAUAAACUUAACAAAACAUGUAUAGAAUUUGAAUGCUGAAAGAAAUCAAUGACUUAAAUAAAUGAAGUGUCUUGGAUCAAAACUUAUUGCAACCACAAAGGGGUUGAAUAUGCACCACACAGCCUCAAAACUGUGUACAGGGUGAGGGUGGAGGACUAUCUGUCUGUGGGUCAGACAUAUAUAUAAAUAUAUUCAUGGAUUGGAAGACACAAAAUAGUAAAGAUGCCAACUCUCCCAAACUGAUCUCUUGGUUUAAUGUAAUUAUUAUCAAAACCCCAGAAAGGUUUUUGUAGACAUAUGCAAACUUUUUAUAAAAGUUUUCAGGCUUUGAGAUAGCUGAAACAAUCUUGUAAAAGAACAAAGUAGGAGAAAUCACUCUAUCCAAUGGAAAAAUUUAUUACAUAGCAAUAGUACUUAAGAUGGCGUGUGAUUGGUAGAGGCUUAAACACAUAGGUGAAUAGAACAGAACAGUGAAUCUAGAAAUAGUCCCACACAAAUAUGCUGAACUAAUUUUUAAUAAAGAUACAGAAUUAAUUCAACAUAAGGAGGAUAAUCUUUUCAGUAAAUAUACUGGAGCAACAGGAAAUCCAUGAGAAAAUAAAAUGAACCUUGGACUAAAUUUCAUACCUUCUACAAAAAUUAACUCAAAAGAGAUCGUAUCUGUAAAUAUAAAAUGUGAAACUAUAAAACUAUAGAAAGAAAUAUAAAGUCUUUUGAAUCAAUGGCUAAGCAAAUGGUUUUUUGACCUGACACCAAAAUCUAUAAAAGGAAAAUUCGAUAAAUUAGACCUUAUCAAAAUUUAAAAGAUUUGUUCUGCAAAAGACCAUGUUAAGAAGACGGAAGGCAGGCUAUAUACUGAGAGCAAAUAUCUGCAAACCACAUAUCUGACAAAAGACUAGUAUCUAGAAUACGUAAAGAACUCUCAAAACGCAAGAGCUUUUUUAAAACUCCAAUUAGAAAAUGAUUAUGAUGGACCAUUUCACUGCAGAGGAUCUACAAAUGGCAAAUAAACACAUGAAAUGAUAUUCAACAUCAUUAGUCAUUAGGGAACAACAAACUAAAACCACAAUGAGGUAUCACUACGUACCUACCAAGUCUGCCAAAAUAAAAGGUAAUGAGAACAUCAAACGUUGGCAAGCAUACCUGCCAGGAAACUGGAUCAGUCAUCCACUGCUGCUGGGAAUGGAAAAUAGAAUAACCACUCUGGGAAACCAUGUGGCUGUUUCCUGACUAGAUGUGUAAUGGCCAUGCCAACCAGCAAUUGCACACUGAGGCAUUUAUGCCAGAGAAAUGAAUACUGAUUUUCAUAGAAUAACUUGCACAUGGAUUAUUCAUAAUAUUAAAGAACUGGAAAUAACCAGCUGUCAUUUAAUCUGGUGGCUGUUAAAACAAAUUGUGAUACAUCCAUCGCAUGGAAAACUAUUCAACAAUAAAAAGGAGCUAAUUACCAAAACAAGCAGCAACUUGGAUGAAUCUCCAGAGAAUUAUGCUGAAAGAGAAAAGCCAAUCUUAACAGUUUAUACACUAUGUGAUUCCAUUCAUGGAACAUUUUGAAGUGCAAAAUUAUAGGAAUGAAGGCUAGAUUAGGGGUUGCCAGGGAGGAAGGUAGAGAACAACCAAGGUGGUUGUAACUGUGCAAAGUUAACACAAAAGAACCUGUGGUGAUGGAAAUGCUCAGUAUCUUGACCAAAUCCUGGUUGUGAAAUCGUACUAUAGUUUAGUAAGAUAUUACCUUCAAGGGAAACUGGGUUAAAAGCUUCAGAGCAAUUUUUGAUAUUAUUUCUUAAAACUGCAUUUAAUCUCUAAAUACCUACAACUAUCUCAGAAACUACAAUUAUCUCAGAGGGAAAGGUUUAAUAUAAACAGGACUCAAACUUUCACUUAAACAAGGCAUUGUAUUCUCUCUCUUGUUAGUCCCCAACACAACAAGGAACUGAGCUAGAGCCAAAAUCUAGCAGAAAGGGGACAACAUUUCUUCUGUUUAACCAGAAAUAUGUAUAUGGAAGAGAUGUAAGCCUUCUUUAAUAGUUUUCUAAAUGUAUUCAAUUUAAUAUUGAAUACAAUUAAAAAUCCAACAGUGGCUGGGGUAUAGCUCAGUGGUAGGGUGCAUACAUAACAUUCUCCAAGCAGUGGAUCAACCCCCAGCUCUGCAUAAAGGGAAUUGGACAAAUCUGUGUAUAGAUUUUAGGUGGGACACUAAGGAGGGGAAGAUGUCUUCAAGUUUUUGGCAUGAACACAUUGAGUAAGCUAUAAGUGUAUUUAUGUACCCACAACUGUAUAUAAUGAUUCUCCACUGGUGUUUAUAUAAAUAACUAUAUUUCCAGUGAUCUUCCUCUACAUAUUCUGGGAAGGAAUUCUUUUUGUUUCUGUGAAUAAGUGAAGUAAAGUACAGCCAGAUCCCCAUGUUUUUCUUUACAGCGGCUGGUCAGAGUCAUGAUGCUGAUGUAUAGUGUAAUUCUGCUGUUUCUUGUUUCAGUAUCCCUUGUCUACCCUGACUCUGUAGCAGAGUUGUUUGGGAGUUGAAAUGUGUUUCUACAAUUUCCCUAAAAAAACAUCUGUAUUUCAUCUUUAAUAACUGAACUGAGUCAAAUACUGUUUGGAAAAUAAAACUUCCCUGGAAUACUCUAUUGAUGUUUAUUUGAUUGCUAUAGCAGCAAUUAUGGAAAAUUUGAAUUGUAAUGAAGCUAUGAUUUGUCUGUACCAUGUAAUGCAUGUGGACUGUAAAAUGUUUCCAAAACUAGAUGUGUCUGUGUCACCAAAGACUAUUUCCUGAUAUGGUUUCUGUGCUUGAUUAAAUGAAAUUAUGAUAUUUAUGUA
rnacentral:lncRNA from 1 species